GAAAAUAAUAUUGACAAGACGAUCAUAUAUCGUCGUAGUCUUAACCAUAAACUAUGCCGACUAGGGAUCGGGCGAUGUUAUUUUCUGACUCGCUCGACACCUUACGAGAAAUCAAAGUGAGUGUGU
rnacentral:ncRNA from 2 species